CUUUUUGUGUUUAUUACUUCUAGGUCCAUUUUGUGAGGAACCUGGUGAUCCUUGUGCAUCUCAGCCAUGCCUGAAUGGGGGCAUAUGCCAGUAUAACCAGUAUGGAUAUGUUUGUGAUUGUCCUGUUGGUUUUCUUGGUCACAACUGUGAAAUUGAUAUCAAUGGAUGUUCUUCAAGGCCAUGUCAGAAUGGAGGUACAUGUAUCAAUUUGCCAAAUGAUGUGGCAUGUAUCUGUCUGCCAAUAUUCACUGGCAAGUUCUGUGAGAGAAUCCUGAAUCCGUGUGAAUUACUGCCUUGCUUAAAUAAUGCAACUUGCGUAGCUCAACACCAGAACUAUAACUGCCGCUGUAUGCCAGGAUUCACUGGAAGGAACUGUGAGGAAGUAAUUGACUACUGCAGGCUGCUCAGCAUCAGCUGUCUGAAUGAAGGAUUGUGUCUUAAUAUAAUUGGAGGAUUCACU